UGCGCCUUGCCAGCCCGCUCAGGUGUGCCAGCAGCCGCGGUAAUACGUAGGGGCGAAGCGUUAUCCGGAUUUACUGGGUGUAAAGGGAGCGUAGACGGCGAUGCAAGUCUGAAGUGAAAGGCGGGGGCCCAACCCCGGACUGCUUUGGAAACUGUAUGGCUGGAGUGCAGGAGAGGUAAGUGGAAUUCCUAGUGUAGCGGUGAAAUGCGUAGAUAUUAGGAGGAACACCAGUGGCGAAGGCGGCUUACUGGACUGUAACUGACGUUGAGGCUCGAAAGCGUGGGGAGCAAACAGG
rnacentral:rRNA from 1 species